rnacentral:rRNA from 1 species
GAUGAACGCUGGCGGCGUGCCUAAUACAUGCAAGUCGAGCGAACGGACGAGAAGCUUGCUUCUCUGAUGUUAGCGGCGGACGGGUGAGUAACACGUGGAUAACCUACCUAUAAGACUGGGAUAACUUCGGGAAACCGGAGCUAAUACCGGCUAAUAUUUUGAACCGCAUGGUUCAAAAGUGAAAGACGGUCUUGCUGUCACUUAUCGAUGGAUCCGCGCUGCAUUAGCUAGUUGGUAAGGUAACGGCUUACCAAGGCAACGAUGCAUAGCCGACCUGAGAGGGUGAUCGGCCACACUGGAACUGAGACACGGUCCAGACUCCUACGGGAGGCAGCAGUAGGGAAUCUUCCGCAAGGGGCGAAAGCCUGACGGAGCAACGCCGCGUGAGUGAUGAAGGUCUUCGGAUCGUAAAACUCUGUUAUUAGGGAAGAACAUAUGUGUAAGUAACUGUGCACAUCUUGACGGUACCUAAUCAGAAAGCCACGGCUAACUACGUG